rnacentral:rRNA from 1 species
AUGUCGAUAUCACCAGACGCGCCAUCUAGAGGUGGUGCCGCGUGCCUGCGUCAAAAUAUGACCGAAGAUGAUGAGACCAAUAUCAGGCCCUCGGACUCAAACAGCACGAUCUUGCGUGACAUUGAGUACAGAAGUAGCGAUAGAUGUAUGGAUAUCUCGAACCCAGUGUACCGGUUUGAUCUAACCCCAUACGAAUCGGUCUUCCGUGAUGGAUUUAAAGGGCGAUUUGAAAUGAACACUCCCAACAGCAUUUACUGCAACUUGGAACUUUACCUGCACCAUGGGGUAAUGCCUGCUACCAUCACUCGAAGACCGGACAAUUACAUCUUUUUUAGCACUACCCUGAGCAGGUCCUGGUUUCCCAACGUGAGGCAAGCCCGUAUAUAUCGCUAUGAGAUAUAUGCCCCCGGGGGUAUCUGGCUUGCUCAAACAUUUCGUCAAUGUGAGACAAGCCCGGACGUAUCGCUAUAUGAAGAUGAGGUAGCCUUUCUUGUUGGCAUUGCUCCUCAAUAUAUUCGAUCUGCACAGGCUUUCCGCCUCAUACCCGGCAGGAAUGGAGGGCUUGGCAAACGAUUGGAAGAUGUUCUAUACAUAAACAGAAACUUCAAUCCUCAGUCACAUCCACCAAGGGAUAUUCCUAUCAUGCAUCCGAUUAUGGAGUACAUUGAUUAUAACAACCAGACAAGGCCUCUAAGAAUUCAAUAUGUGCCCGAAGAGAUAGAGAGUAUGUGGCCAUAUAGGCGAUCGCUGGGAACUACAAAUGAUGUUCCAAUCGAGUAUUAUGCAGAGGGUGUGGCUCACAUCGCCAGCUAUAUCGACUCUGCAUUUCGAUCUACAUAUUGGAAUGAAGUCUAUAUCUUCAUCAAGGAAAAGUAUGUUCUCGUGAACUACGCGCCUGGAUCAACUAAUGACAGGAUACUCAAUGGCCCACACUACAUAGGCGAUAGCUUCCCCUUUCUUGUGGGGACUGCUUUUGCCGAGUACGGGAUAGACGCUUCUUUCGGUUCUCAUAGCAGUGUUGAAGCAAUCAUCUUUUCUGGGAACCUCUGCGCACGGAUAAACUUCGCACCAAAGACCACCGGUGGUUACAUUGUAGAGGGGAUCACAACCAUCAGACAGAUGUUCCCUUUCUUUAGAGGGACCGUCUUCGAGAAGGGGAUAGAUGCCGCGUUUGAAUCCACCGUGACUGGUGAAGCAUAUCUAUUCAAAGGCUCAAAUUAUGCUCUUAUCAACUACUAUAAGAAAGAACUCAUCGCUAUAACUCCCAUAGCAGUUGGGUUUCAGUGUCUGCGCGACUCUGAGUUUGAAGGAGAUAUCGGUGCUGCCUUUGCCUCGCACAUAUGCAAGGAGGCUUACCUGUUCAAAGGUAACAGGUAUAUCCUCCUUCAUUUUACCCCUGGAGAGAACAAGGACUACAUUGUUGACGGACCGAAGGACAUCGUCCCUGGAAACUGGCCCUCGCUCGAUGGCGUCCUACCCUGCAGAAACAUAGGGCUCGAUGUUAUUGGGUUUCCCCAUGGUAACCCUUUGCCUGAGGCAUCUAACCAUGGCAAUCCUAUGCUGGACGCGUCUCCCCAUGGUAACCUUGUGCCGGCCGAGCACGUCCCGGAUGAAUCUGUAAUAAGAUCUAUACAUGGAUGUAUGUCUUUUCUUUUUCCCCACUUGUUUAACUAA